UAGUGUGAUUCCCACCUACCACACAAAAAAUAUCAUCACACUAAGGCACAACUUUGAUACUUCCUAUUGGUACUUAUCAACUUGCAACAAAUCAUGAAGCUUCUUUUUCAUCAUUAUUAUCCAGGCAAAGUUCAACAGAAAACCAAAGAUAGAAAGGAGGUUUAUUAAACAGUACUCAUAUUACCUUAUUUGAUUCAUAUUGUUUGGCAAUCUGAGCAAGUUCCUCGUUGUUCAGGUACUCUUCUUUCUUCUUUGCAAGUACUUUGUCGACGAUUCUCUGGUUUACUCCGACCAACCGCUUAUCCACCGUGAUUCUGUAUCCCACUACAAAAGGAAUUGGAGGAAAGGAAACAAAAGAAGUGAUUGAUCAGUAAAAUUUGCUCAAAAGGGUUACAACGUUCUUCAUCCUGAGCUACUAAAACACUACAUUAGAUCCUGGUGGUGAAAAGGUGUUCAAGUGAAUAGAAACACAAAAGGAGCCACAAAAUUGACAUAACUUGCUACCAAUGCCAGUGAGAAAUUACGUCGAACACAACAACUCCGUUAGGAGUUACAGAUAGAAGCAGAACUUAGCAGAUCUUUGAUUGAAGAUGAAUCCAUGGAUGGUUAGUUAUAAGGGACAUGGUGGAGACAAAAUGUACAUACAAAUUGAGAAGUAGCAUUUCGAGUUAAUAUCGGGUAUUGUAAGUAAAUGUCCCUCUUUAAUGUCACGAAUUCACAGCUAAAACUAUGUUUUGGCAAAAUCUAAGCUCAUUGUACUAGAAAA